AGAGCGAACGCUGGCGGCAGGCCUAACACAUGCAAGUCGAGCGCCCCGCAAGGGGAGCGGCAGACGGGAGAGUAACACGUGGGAACGUGCCCUUUGGUUCGGAACAACACAGGGAAACUUGUGCUAAUACCGGAUAAGCCCUUACGGGGAAAGAUUUAUCGCCAAAGGAUCGGCCCGCGUCUGAUUAGCUUGUUGGUGAGGUAACGGCUCACCAAGGCGACGAUCAGUAGCUGGUCUGAGAGGAUGAUCAGCCUCACUGGGACUGAGACACGGCCCAGACUCCUACGGGAGGCAGCAGUGGGGAAUAUUGGACAAUGGGCGCAAGCCUGAUCCAGCCAUGCCGCGUGGGUGAUGAAGGCCCUAGGGUUGUAAAGCCCUUUCGGCGGGGAAGAUAAUGACGGUACCCGCAGAAGAAGCCCCGGCUAACUUCGUGCCAGCAGCCGC
rnacentral:rRNA from 1 species